rnacentral:rRNA from 1 species
UACGAAGGGGGCGAGCGUUGUUCGGAAUUACUGGGCGUAAAGGGCGCGCAGGCGGCCGAUCAAGUCAGGCGUGAAAGCCCCGGGCUUAACCUGGGAAUUGCGCUUGGGACUGAUGGGCUUGAGUUCGGGAGAGGAGAGUGGAAUUCCCAGUGUAGAGGUGAAAUUCGUAGAUAUUGUGAAGAACACCGGUGGCGAAGGCGGCUCUCUGGACCGAUACUGACGCUGAGGCGCGAAAGCGUGGGGAGCAAACAGG